GAUGAACGCUGGCGGCGUGCCUAAUACAUGCAAGUCGAGCGAACAGACGAGGAGCUUGCUCCUCUGACGUUAGCGGCGGACGGGUGAGUAACACGUGGAUAACCUACCUAUAAUACUGGGAUAACUUCGGGAAACCGGAGCUAAUACCGGAUAAUAUAUUGAACCGCAUGGUUCAAUAGUGAAAGACGGUUUUGCUGUCACUUAUAGAUGAAUCCGCGCCGCAUUAGCUAGUUGGUAAGGUAACGGCUUACCAAGGCAACGAUGCGUAGCCGACCUGAGAGGGUGAUCGGCCACACUGGAACUGAGACACGGUCCAGACUCCUACGGGAGGCAGCAGUAGGGAAUCUUCCGCAAUGGGCGCAAGCCUGACGGAGCAACGCCGCGUGAGUGAUGAAGGUCUUCGGAUCGUAAAACUCUGUUAUUAGGGAAGAACAAAUGUGUAAGUAAAUAUGGACGUCUUGACGGUACCUAAUCAGAAAGCCACGGCUAACUACGUG
rnacentral:rRNA from 1 species